rnacentral:rRNA from 1 species
GAUGAACGCUGGCGGCGUGCUUAACACAUGCAAGUCGAACGAUGAAGCUGGAGCUUGCUCUGGUGGAUUAGUGGCGAACGGGUGAGUAACACGUGAGCAACCUGCCCCUGACUCUGGGAUAACAGCCGGAAACGGCUGCUCAUACCGGAUAUGCACCAUGAACGCAUGUUCUGUGGUGGGAAAGAUUUUUCGGUUGGGGAUGGGCUCGCGGCCUAUCAGCUUGUUGGUGAGGUAAUGGCUCACCAAGGCGUCGACGGGUAGCCGGCCUGAGAGGGUGACCGGCCACACGAGGACUGAGAGACGGACCAGUGGCGUACGGGAGGCAGCAGUGGGGAGUAUUGCACAAUGGGCGAAAGCCUGAUGCAGCAACGCCGCGUUAGGGAUGACGGCCUUCGGGUUGUAAACCUCUUUUAGCAGGGAAGAAGCGAGAGUGACGGUACCUGCAGAAAAAGCGCCGGCUAACUACGUG